rnacentral:misc_RNA from 1 species
UGAGCAUCUACUUCUGUGUUUGCAGU